rnacentral:ncRNA from 1 species
AAAGACAUCUUGAAAAGCAGAGUAAUUAGUCCACUUGCUUUUAAAGAGAGUUGACAUUUUGGUGAAAGUCAACAAGUAAGAACUAAUGAAGAUGGGCUUGGAAUGAUGACUAGUAGUGAUAUUUAGCUACUGGCGGACUUGCAUCCGAUAUCAAUGCAGGCUAUGUAAGUAGCUAGUGAGGUCUAUUUAUGCGAAUAAGUAGAUAAAUUAAGGUGGUAACGCGAAGCACUCGUCCUUUUU